AAAUGAAACUGAUAUGAAUUAAUUAAAAUAAAAGGAUUAAAUGGAAAAAUAAAAAAACAAAAAAAACAAGGGUCAUUUGAUCUCCCUCAUUAAUUGAUGUGGCAAAUCAGAUGGCUAGGAGUGAGCAUUCCACACGUACAUGAGUCAACUGUGCCACAUGCUGGGUAACCACAAUAAACGCGUGAGAUUAGAACAUGAGACUCAGAUCAAAUAGUCCUGGACAAGCC
rnacentral:lncRNA from 1 species